rnacentral:pre_miRNA from 1 species
CAGCUGCGGGGUCUCAGGGAGCAGAGCUCUGGGGGCUCCUCCACCAUGGCCUGGACUCCUCUCCUGCUCAGCCUCCUCACUCUCUGCCAAAGU